rnacentral:lncRNA from 1 species
AAAAAAGGGGGAGGUUCCAACCCCCGGAACCCUCCCCCUGGAUCCGCCACUGAUACUGUCACUAUUUGUGGGGGAUUUCCCCCAUGGAGGCUCCCAAAUUGAAAUUUUGAAAGAGCAAUUGUGUCCAUAAUUUUAAACUAAACAAUUAAUUUUAUAAGGGAGCUACCAUUUGAUUUUUAGGGGGGGCUAGGAUGAAAUUUGAAAAAAAUAGGCAGGACAGGAGUUUUGAGUUAAAAAAAAAAGGCAGGAUGAGACACUUGCAAAAAAAAAAGGCAGGACGACAAUUUAGGUAAGAAAAAGUCAGGAUAAACUAAAAAAAAAAGGCAGGACCGAACAGAGUAAAAAAUAAAAAGGUAGGACAGAGAUUACAGCUAAAAAAAAAUGCAGGACAAAAA